rnacentral:rRNA from 1 species
UCCCAGACUCCUACGGGAGGCAGCAGUGGGGAAUAUUGCACAAUGGGGGGAACCCUGAUGCAGCGACGCCGCGUGGGUGAAGGAGUAUUUCGGUAUGUAAAGCCCUAUCAGCAGGGAAGAACAAUGACGGUACCUGACUAAGAAGCCCCGGCUAACUACGUGCCAGCAGCCGCGGUAAUACGUAGGGGGCAAGCGUUAUCCGGAUUUACUGGGUGUAAAGGGAGCGUAGACGGCAUGGCAAGUCAGAUGUGAAAGCCCGGGGCUCAACCCCGGGACUGCAUUUGAAACUGUCAGGCUGGAGUGCAGGAGAGGUAAGUGGAAUUCCUAGUGUAGCGGUGAAAUGCGUAGAUAUUAGGAGGAACACCAGUGGCGAAGGCGGCCUGCUGGACGGUGACUGACGCUGAGGCUCGAAAGCGUGGGGAGCAAACAGGAUUAGAUACCCCAGUA